GCUCCUCGUGGUUUGGCCAAUAGGUCCGUCUAUUGGCCAUUAAUUGGAAACGAAGCUCUUUUGUGGAUCUCAUGUGCACUUAUCCGGUUCAGGUCAUCCAGGCUGCUGUUGUCCUCCACUGGCUUUGACUUGGACUCUGACAUUUGCUUGGGAUUUCCAUCUUCAUGAAAAGCGAGAUGACCAGCAUUAUCAAACAACGAGGCAUCAUCCUUUGAAGCUGCUGGUGGUCGAGCAUCUUUCUAAAGGUCUUUUGACGGAGUGAAAUUAAAGGAAAGAAUAACCCAGAAAAUGAGACCACCUCAGAAGUUUGUAAACAUUUUUUCUCUUUAAUUACCAACCAAGGAGAUUCUGAAUUUGUAAAGGAUUGUCCUGUUUGUGGUAAAAUAAACUUUAAAUGGGUGGGCUAACUUCCAGUCACUUUUAUGCCAUUCUUUGAACAGAUUUGAUUAAAUAUUGUGUUUACUGGUUUGCAUAACGCCACUUCAAAAGCCUGGCUU